GUCUGACCAUCAGCUGAGGAUUGGCAGCUCGAAAAUUCGAACCCUCCAGGCUUCAACAAGAGUUCACCACCUCACACUCUCACCAUCUUUCACACACCUUGAUACACAACAACCAUGUCAAGACCUGUUUCAUCUUCGCCAUGAUUCCUGCUCUCUCUCACUCUCAUCAAAGUCAUGUCUUUAGCUCCUUUGAUGUUCCGUUCACUGAUGCGGCUGUUGAUAUCGCUGGCUGGUCGCCCGGCUGCGUCCAUCACCACAUUACUGUACUAUAGUGAUCUCCUCCCAAGGGACUUGAACUUAGAGCGGUUGGUUCAGCAAGAUCUACUCCAUAGAGAGAACUAUCUCUUCCAUUUCCUCAUCAACUUGUUGAGAUGCAUCCGGUAGAGACAAAUAGACAACAACGACCACAACCACAACCACCACCACCACCAUCACCACCACCAGUGGGCUGGUGGCUGUCUUCUCUUCUCUCGAUCUCUAUCUAGUAAGUGUUUGUUCAAGAAAUUUUGAGAAAUGGGUGGGGGUGAAUUUGUUUUCCAGAAUUGGCCCGGCUUCUUUUUCAUCCAAAUGGAACCGUUGAUGUCUUCCUCUCUUUGAUGUGAAUGGAAGAUCGGUUCUAAGGGUGUUCAGAAACCAGAAGGGUUGCAUUUUGGAUUUUUAGAAUCAAUCUGGAUUUCUUUUCUUUUCUUUUUUUUUUUUUUUUUUUUCAAUACAGAAAGGAAAAGUAGUAGAGGUGUAUCGGUUCUCCAUUGGAUAUAGUAAUAAAUACUUGAGGGCAGUUUAAACUUUUAACAA